ACUCCUACGGGAGGCAGCAGUGGGGAAUAUUGCACAAUGGGGGAAACCCUGAUGCAGCCAUGCCGCGUGUGUGAAGAAGGCCUUCGGGUUGUAAAGCACUUUCUAGUAGGGAGGAAGGUAGUGUAGUUAACACCUGCAUUAUUUGUACGUUACCUACAGAAGAAGCACCGGCUAACUCCGUGCCAGCAGCCGCGGUAAUACGGAGGGUGCGAGCGUUAAUCGGAAUUACUGGGCGUAAAGCGCAUGCGAGGCGGGCCUGUUAAGUCAGAUGUGAAAGCCCGGGGCGUUAACCUCGGAAUUGCAUUUGAAACUGGCGAGGCUAGAGUCUUGUAGAGGGGUUAGAAUUUCGAGGUGUAGCGGUGAAAUGCGUAGAGAUCUGAAGGAAUACCAGUGGCGAAGG
rnacentral:rRNA from 1 species